ensembl:misc_RNA 7SK 7SK RNA
GGAUGUGAAGGUGAUCUGGCUACCCAUUGAUCACCAGAGUUGAUCCAGCUGACCUGGCUGGCUAGGCAGGUGUCCCCUUCCUCCCUCACUGCUCCAUGGUCAAAAAGGAAGAUGGGUCUGUCUUCUCGGUAGAACAUAUAUAAGUAGCUGUGCUCCCCUGCUAGAACCACCAAACAAGCUCUCAAUGUCUAAAGAAUAAAUGUUUUAAAAUGAAAGAAACUAUCCCCUUCCUUACUAGGCUUACAGAGUAAUUGUGAAGAUGA